GUAUAUAAGCUUUGCACAUUCUUUGAACCUGUCCUCACUACUUGAAAAGAGAGGGAGAGGGGGAGAUGGAGCUAGAGCCAGAGCCAGAGCAAGAAAGGAAAGGAGGGAGAGAAUUUUAAGGAAACUAUGACGCAUAAGGGAUAAAAAGAAAAAACAUCUGCUGGAUAAUUAGCAAAUUCCUUCACAAAGAGAACAUUUAAAAGUUUAAAGUUUUCGACACCAACUAGACCACACUGUUUCCAAAGUAAUGCUUACUAUUAUUUUCUAUUCUAAAUUCAGUCAGUUCAGGAAAUUCUUUAAAGAGGAAAGUAGGGGAAGAAGUGGAAAGGGGUGCCCUCUUCAGUAACUACCAAUUGAAAUCUCAAUCUGUUGUGAAGUUUUGGUAUCUUGUGUCCCCCACGAGGGGGAAAGAGCCUUAAAUAUCAUUUCCAAGCUGGCUCAAUAUUCGUUUGUCCUCAAUUUGAACCAAAUUAAUUUGAUAUCCAAAUGUGCUACUUUUUAACCAAGUGUUGUGCUAUGCUCAGUCACUCAGUUGUGUCUGACUCCGAAGGCCUUAGGACUGCAGCCUGCCAGGCUCCUCUGUCCAUGGGAUUUCUCAGGCAAGAAUACUGGAGUGGGUUGCCAUUUCUUCCUCCAAGGGAUCUUCCCAACCCAGGGAUCAAACUCAAACCUCCUGUGUCUCCUGCACUGCAGAUUCUGUGGAUCAAGAAAUCAGAUGCGGCACAAGAAUUCAGACAGAGAGGACUAGGUUUCCGCUCCACAGUGUCUGAGAUCUGGGUGGGGAAGACUUAAGCAGCUGGAGGGGGCAUGUCCAGAGAGCCGGGGACUGGAAGCACCUGAUGCUGCUUCCUAUACAUCUGACACCUGGCCUGGGAUGACUGGAAGACUGACUCAGGUGGAACUAUGGAUUGGGACACCUACUCGUGUAAUGUCUCCUUGGAGCUUGAGAGUCCUUACAGCACAGCAGACUUGAUCUUCUUAUUUGGCAGCUUUGGAUACCAGCAUUCUUCAACACCUUUUUUGAGAACUACUAAGACCAAGGAUAGGAAAACUCCCAGGAAAUGCAAACCUUUCAUCCCCCACACUGUGCUGGGUGCUAUGGAAACAAGGGUUGGAAGAGUCACUUCAUAAGUACAAGCACCAUCCGUGUCAGGUCCCCCAGCAUACUGUACUGCUGGCAGACAUUUAUCUGCUCAAGGAGAUCCUGGUAAGGAAUACGGAACUAAUAAGCCACCACCAACCCAAAGAGUUCGGGAAAGGUCAAAAGGAGACACCAUGUGUCUGUCUACUUCCCAGAAUCCCUCUCGCUAGCAUCCAUCUUGGCUGAGCGAUGCGUGUGCCACCAGGAAAUACUCUGAAUUAGACUGAUUGGCCAAAGACAACCUGGAAACUAAUCCCAUCAUCAUAAAACCUGAGACUGUGAGCCACGUGGCAGAGCAGUUCUCCUGGGUUCCCUUACCCUACUGCUC
ensembl:lncRNA